rnacentral:rRNA from 1 species
GACGAACGCUGGCGGCGUGCUUAACACAUGCAAGUCGAACGGAAAGGCCCUGCUUUUGUGGGGUGCUCGAGUGGCGAACGGGUGAGUAACACGUGAGUAACCUGCCCUUGACUUUGGGAUAACUUCAGGAAACUGGGGCUAAUACCGGAUAGGAGCUCCUGCUGCAUGGUGGGGGUUGGAAAGUUUCGGCGGUUGGGGAUGGACUCGCGGCUUAUCAGCUUGUUGGUGGGGUAGUGGCUUACCAAGGCUUUGACGGGGAGCCGGCCUGGGAGGGUGACCGGUGAGACAGGGGCCAGUAUCCUACCGGGGGUAGCAGGAGGGGAGAGUGCGGGGUGGGGGGAAGCAGGGGCCAGCGACUGAGCGAGAGGCGCCGAGUGCGUGAGGGUGGAAAUCGGGGUAGUGAGCGAAAAAGCCCGCGACGAAUGGGACAUGACGGUAUCGGAAAAAGAAGCACCGGCUAACUACGUG